AGUACGGCCGCAAGGUUAAAACUCAAAUGAAUUGACGGGGGCCCGCACAAGCGGUGGAGCAUGUGGUUUAAUUCGAUGCAACGCGAAGAACCUUACCUGGUCUUGACAUCCACAGAAGAAUCCAGAGAUGGAUUUGUGCCUUCGGGAACUGUGAGACAGGUGCUGCAUGGCUGUCGUCAGCUCGUGUUGUGAAAUGUUGGGUUAAGUCCCGCAACGAGCGCAACCCUUAUCCUUUGUUGCCAGCGGUUAGGCCGGGAACUCAAAGGAGACUGCCAGUGAUAAACUGGAGGAAGGUGGGGAUGACGUCAAGUCAUCAUGGCCCUUACGACCAGGGCUACACACGUGCUACAAUGGCGCAUACAAAGAGAAGCGACCUCGCGAGAGCAAGCGGACCUCAUAAAGUGCGUCGUAGUCCGGAUUGGAGUCUGCAACUCGACUCCAUGAAGUCGGAAUCGCUAGUAAUCGUGGAUCAGAAUGCCACGGUGAAUACGUUCCCGGGCCUUGUACACACCGCCCGUCACACCAUGGGAGUGGGUUGCAAAAGAAGUAGGUAGCUUAACCUUCGGGAGGGCGCUUACCACUUUGUGAUUCAUGACUGGGGUGAAGUCGUAACAAGGUAACCGUAGGGGAACCUGCGGUUG
rnacentral:rRNA from 1 species